AGUCCCGACCACUCUACAAAAUAACAACGCAACACAGCCAAAUCAAUCGUCUUCGAUCACACCUAUUCACUAAAGCGUGCGGACUAUAUACUUAUGUUCCUAUGCAUAUGUAUACGACACGGCAUGCACUUUUGAUUUUUGUGCAAUUUUACUCUAGCUGUCAUCGAAUCGUCCGAUAUAAAUUAGACGUGAAACACUAAAACUGAACUCAAAUUGACUACACCAUCAUAAAAGCGGCGGAUGACAAAUGGAAAUAAAAUAAAAUAAUUAAAAAUAAAUUGAUGUCUGAAAUCAAAAUAAAAAGUUUGCCAUCUUGUGAAGGAAAAUCUAUAUUUUUCUAAUUGUAAAUUUCCUGUAUUAAUGAAAUAACUUUUGUAAGAAUAACGUUACAUCAGACGUAAAACAAUCGAUGUUACGUGAAUUAUGCACUGGAGCAUCAUCACAACACUAUCAUUAUCAUAAUCUUUGUGUCGUCAUAGUCAUCACGCGCAGUUUGUGCAUAUUAUGUGUAUAUAUAUAUAUAAAAAAAGAUAGAGAGAAAAAUAGAAAUAAAGAUGGGGGAUGGGUGGGGGAGUGUGUGAUGAAUGAGUAACGAGACGCCGUCUUUCCAACGACUCAAAACGAAGCAACACCGGCGACAUUCUGUUUGUGUUCUUUCUACGUCGGAAUUCCAAUGUUGGCGCGCGUGGCGCCAAGUUUAACCUUUUCGAUGCUCCAGACACGAUGAAUAACUUCAUAAAAAAUGUUUACGCAAAUACGAAAUGGUGUAUGUAUAUUUGUAUUACGUACAGUCAGGAAAAUUGAUUCUGAAACAAGAACAUUUAGCGACCUCAAAGUUAAAGGCUAAAUUAACUGUAUUUUAUAAUAAAGAGUGGUACAUUAAAAUACAUUUCAAUUAGUAGGUUGCAUCAUAGUUCUGUAUAUUUUAGAAUCAAUUUCUUAAGUAUUCCAUAAUUGGAUGUGUAUACAUAUAUAUAUAUCGAAGUAACAGGAAUCAAACAACAGAGGAAAUAAUUUGUCUCGUUUUGAAACAUCCUUUUGUAUAAAUUUGUAUAAUUAAUUGUUCAAUUUUUGUUUGAUUGGGAAAUAUUGAAAUAUUAUUAAAUUUACCAUGUUAAAUUCUAAAGUGCAAACGCGAAUGAUAUCUCUUUCAUCUUGUAAAUCAAUAUAUUUAUAGUACUGUUAAAUAAUUUCAAAAGAUAUUGUGAUCGAUGAAAUAUAUAGAAAAAAUGAAACAUAAAUGCAAAUAUAAAUGAAUUUUGAUCACGUCUCGUGGCAGCAGUCUCGGCAUACGAUCAAAACUUCAAAGUCUAGAAGCGAACCAACGAACCGUCAUACUGUUCCCAUAAGAAUGUGAAAUAGUAAACGAAUACCGUAGUGCGUUUCAUGUUACGUCUUGGUUUUAUUCCCAAUGAUAUUACACAUCGACACGAUAUUCCGUAAGCAUGGAAUAGAUUUUUUUUCAAUUAUUAUUUUAUUUAAAUGUUUUAUUAUUAUAUCGUUCGAGUCAAAAACAUUUAAAUUUUCACUUGACUCAAAUUAACUAAAAUAAACUGAAGAUAAUCAUAAAAUGUUAUUAGUCCAUGAGAUUGACCAAUCACCGUAAAGAACAGCUGAGAUAGGGAGAGAAAAAAAAUAGAAUGAUAAUGAAGAACGUAAAAGACGUAAUAAACAUUGAAAUCUAGUAAAAUUUUUGGUAUAUUUCACCAAAAAAAAAGAUCCUAAUCGCGUUAACAAGAACAUACUAUAAUCUGCUACAUUUAUCGUGACAGGCCGCCUAUAUACGGGAAGAAACAUCAUCGUGGUUUCGUAGGAAUGCGAGCACGAAAUUGCAGAAUGUUCCGUUGCUCGAUUAAUUUUAAGCUUCGACGAGCGUACAGACGUGUAACGUAGUACUAA